UACAAAGGUCUCAAGCGUUGUUCGGAUUCAUUGGGCGUAAAGGGUGCGUAGGCGGCGCGGUAAGUCGGGUGUGAAAUCUCGGAGCUUAACUCCGAAACUGCAUUCGAUACUGCCGUGCUUGAGGACUGGAGAGGAGACUGGAAUUUACGGUGUAGCGGUGAAAUGCGUAGAUAUCGUAAGGAAGACCAGUGGCGAAGGCGGGGUCUCUGGACAGUUCCUGACGCUGAGGCACGAAGGUCAGGGGGAGCAAACGGG
rnacentral:rRNA from 1 species